AUUGAACGCUGGCGGCAGGCCUAACACAUGCAAGUCGAGCGAGCGGCGGACGGGUGAGUAAUGUCCGGGAAACUGCCUGAUGGAGUGGGAUAAGUACUGGAAACGGUAGAUAAUACCGCAUACCAUCAGAUGUUGCCAGAUGGGAUUCGCUAGUAGGUGUGGUAACGGCUCACCUAGGCGACGACCCCUAGCUGGUCUGUGAUGAUGACCAGCCACACUGGAACGGAGACACGGUCCAGACUCCUACGGGAGGCAGCAGUGGGGAAUAUUGCACAAUGGGAGCAGGCCUGAUGCAGCCAUGCCACGUGUGUGAAGAAGGCCUGCGGGUUUUAAUGCACUUUCAGCGGGGAGGCGUUACCCGCAGAAGAAGCACCGGCUAACUCCGUGCCAGCAGCCGCGGUAAUAC
rnacentral:rRNA from 1 species